rnacentral:lncRNA from 1 species
AUUUAGGUCACAGUUCAUCAUCAGUGGAAGCCAAAGCAGAAACUCAACACAAAAGUCUGGAGGCUGGAGCUGAAGCAGAAACCAUGGAGGGACACUGCUGUUUGGCUUAAUUUCCUGGACUUGCUCAGCUACAUUUCCUCAGCAGCCCAGCCCUACCUGUCCAGGGAUUGUACUGCUCAGAGUGGGCUGGGCCCUAGCAACCAAGGAAAUGCCUCACAGACAUAUCCACAGGCCAAUCUGACGGAGGCGGCUCCUCAACUGAGCUCUCCUCUUCCCAGCAAUGAAACCUUAACUAAGACAACGAUGAAGAUGAGCCAUCUUGUUUCCUGUUUUGAAAGCUUUAUGGAGCACAUGCUGUCUUCUGUCUUUUGAACUUGCUCUCCCCUCCGCCAUCACCUCUGGUUAUUGGGUACUGAUGAUUGGUGUCUGUAUGAAUUUUGCCAUGCAAACCCUGAAGAAUUAAAACCUGUGGUCUGGGUUUAGU